GUGAGGAAUAUUGGUCAAUGGGCGGGAGCCUGAACCAGCCAAGUCGCGUGAAGGAAGAAGGAUCUAUGGUUCGUAAACUUCUUUUGCAGGGGAAUAAAGUGCAGGACGUGUCCUGUUUUGUAUGUACCCUGAGAAUAAGGAUCGGCUAACUCCGUGCCAGCAGCCGCGGUAAUACGGAGGAUCCGAGCGUUAUCCGGAUUUAUUGGGUUUAAAGGGUGCGUAGGUGGUUUGAUAAGUCAGCGGUGAAAGUUUGCAGCUUAACUGUAAAAAUGCCGUGAAAAUGUUGGACUUGAGUGUAAAUGAGGUAGGCGGAAUGCGUGGUGUAGCGGUGAAAUGCAUAGAUAUCACGCAGAACUCCGAUUGCGAAGGCAGCUUACUAAGCUACAACUGACACUGAAGCACGAAAGCGUGGGGAUCAAACAGGAUUAGAAACCCUGGUAGUCC
rnacentral:rRNA from 1 species